GUCCUUUUGAAUAUUAUUUAAGGUUUGACCUGCCCACUGAGUAUUUAAAUGGCCGCAGUAAUUUGACUGUGCAAAGGUAGCAUAAUCAUUAGUUUUUUAAUUGAAAGCUUGUAUGAAAGGUUGGACGAAGUAAAAUCUGUCUCUAUUUAAUUUAAAUUAGAAUUUAAUUUUUAAGUUAAAAAGCUUAAAUUUUAUUAAAAGACGAGAAGACCCUAUAGAUCUUUAUAUUUUUUAUUAAUAAUUUUAAUUAAGAAUUUUUUAUUUAUUAUUGAAAAUAAUAUUUUAUUGGGGUAAUAAAAAGAUUAGUAUAAUUCUUUUAUUUUUAACCAUUAAUUAAUGAUUAAGUGAUCCAAUUUUUUUGAUUAAAAGAUUAAGUUACCUUAGGGAUAACAGCGUAAUUUUUUUUGAGAGUUCAUAUCGAUAAAAAAGUUUGCGACCUCGAUGUUGGAUUAAAAAUUAUCUUAGGUGCAGAAGUUUAAGAUUUUGGUCUGUUCGACCAUUAAAUUUUUACA
rnacentral:rRNA from 1 species